rnacentral:rRNA from 1 species
GGGUUGUGAGGUUAAGCGACUAAGCGUACACGGUGGAUGCCCUGGCAGUCAGAGGCGAUGAAGGACGUGCUAAUCUGCGAUAAGCGUCGGUAAGGUGAUAUGAACCGUUAUAACCGGCGAUUUCCGAAUGGGGAAACCCAGUGUGUUUCGACACACUAUCAUUAACUGAAUCCAUAGGUUAAUGAGGCGAACCGGGGGAACUGAAACAUCUAAGUACCCCGAGGAAAAGAAAUCAACCGAGAUUCCCCCAGUAGCGGCGAGCGAACGGGGAGCAGCCCAGAGCCUGAAUCAGUGUGUGUGUUAGUGGAAGCGUCUGGAAAGGCGCGCGAUACAGGGUGACAGCCCCGUACACAAAAAUGCACAUGCUGUGAGCUCGAUGAGUAGGGCGGGACACGUGGUAUCCUGUCUGAAUAUGGGGGGACCAUCCUCCAAGGCUAAAUACUCCUGACUGACCGAUAGUGAACCAGUACCGUGAGGGAAAGGCGAAAAGAACCCCGGCGAGGGGAGUGAAAAAGAACCUGAAACCGUGUACGUACAAGCAGUGGGAGCACGCUUAGGCGUGUGACUGCGUACCUUUUGUAUAAUGGGUCAGCGACUUAUAUUCUGUAGCAAGGUUAACCGAAUAGGGGAGCCGAAGGGAAACCGAGUCUUAACUGGGCGUUAAGUUGCAGGGUAUAGACCCGAAACCCGGUGAUCUAGCCAUGGGCAGGUUGAAGGUUGGGUAACACUAACUGGAGGACCGAACCGACUAAUGUUGAAAAAUUAGCGGAUGACUUGUGGCUGGGGGUGAAAGGCCAAUCAAACCGGGAGAUAGCUGGUUCUCCCCGAAAGCUAUUUAGGUAGCGCCUCGUGAAUUCAUCUCCGGGGGUAGAGCACUGUUUCGGCAAGGGGGUCAUCCCGACUUACCAACCCGAUGCAAACUGCGAAUACCGGAGAAUGUUAUCACGGGAGACACACGGCGGGUGCUAACGUCCGUCGUGAAGAGGGAAACAACCCAGACCGCCAGCUAAGGUCCCAAAGUCAUGGUUAAGUGGGAAACGAUGUGGGAAGGCCCAGACAGCCAGGAUGUUGGCUUAGAAGCAGCCAUCAUUUAAAGAAAGCGUAAUAGCUCACUGGUCGAGUCGGCCUGCGCGGAAGAUGUAACGGGGCUAAACCAUGCACCGAAGCUGCGGCAGCGACGCUUAUGCGUUGUUGGGUAGGGGAGCGUUCUGUAAGCCUGUGAAGGUGUGCUGUGAGGCAUGCUGGAGGUAUCAGAAGUGCGAAUGCUGACAUAAGUAACGAUAAAGCGGGUGAAAAGCCCGCUCGCCGGAAGACCAAGGGUUCCUGUCCAACGUUAAUCGGGGCAGGGUGAGUCGACCCCUAAGGCGAGGCCGAAAGGCGUAGUCGAUGGGAAACAGGUUAAUAUUCCUGUACUUGGUGUUACUGCGAAGGGGGGACGGAGAAGGCUAUGUUGGCCGGGCGACGGUUGUCCCGGUUUAAGCGUGUAGGCUGGUUUUCCAGGCAAAUCCGGAAAAUCAAGGCUGAGGCGUGAUGACGAGGCACUACGGUGCUGAAGCAACAAAUGCCCUGCUUCCAGGAAAAGCCUCUAAGCAUCAGGUAACAUCAAAUCGUACCCCAAACCGACACAGGUGGUCAGGUAGAGAAUACCAAGGCGCUUGAGAGAACUCGGGUGAAGGAACUAGGCAAAAUGGUGCCGUAACUUCGGGAGAAGGCACGCUGAUAUGUAGGUGAAGUCCCUCGCGGAUGGAGCUGAAAUCAGUCGAAGAUACCAGCUGGCUGCAACUGUUUAUUAAAAACACAGCACUGUGCAAACACGAAAGUGGACGUAUACGGUGUGACGCCUGCCCGGUGCCGGAAGGUUAAUUGAUGGGGUUAGCCGCAAGGCGAAGCUCUUGAUCGAAGCCCCGGUAAACGGCGGCCGUAACUAUAACGGUCCUAAGGUAGCGAAAUUCCUUGUCGGGUAAGUUCCGACCUGCACGAAUGGCGUAAUGAUGGCCAGGCUGUCUCCACCCGAGACUCAGUGAAAUUGAACUCGCUGUGAAGAUGCAGUGUACCCGCGGCAAGACGGAAAGACCCCGUGAACCUUUACUAUAGCUUGACACUGAACAUUGAGCCUUGAUGUGUAGGAUAGGUGGGAGGCUU